AACAUUCAAAUGCUGCAGUUUGAAACUACUUCCAGGAAAAGGUUUUAGAACUGCUAACCGCAUGGUUAUACCAGUAUCUCGCAGCGGAGACAUUUGAAUUCUUGUAGACUUGUUUCCAAGAAGGAUCCCCCUAAUGCACUCUGCACUUAGAAAAGGGAAUAGCAUUGAUUAACGUUCCUGGAAUCGGAUAGCUCCCUUUUAAGCUGAAAAGUUUACUUUAGAAAUGAGGAAACGAGUACAGACGGCACAGCAGCUUCAAGCUAAGAGUAGGUAUUGGCAUUUGGUGGUAGAAGUCACUUGACAAGUCACUUGACUUCCUUGGGCUUCGGUCAACCCUGAGGAGGCAGAACGGGGAUAAGUCAAAAGGAGGACUUCAGUGAAAGGCAGAAAAGCCAAAUUCUCCUGCAAAGAAAGUGCAAAGCAAAGCACAUGAAUAGUUCAGCUACUCUCAAACACAUCAGAUACAGGAGAGCUUCUUCAGCUGCCUUCUGGUACCUUUUGGGGGAAGGAAAAAAAAACAACACACCACUUAUCUAGAAUUCAAAUCCCAGGAGCGCAUUUACCCUGAAGCAAGGACACUACAUACUUUUCAGCCCCAACAGACACAACAAAAAUGUGGUUCCUACACAGCAUCCAGCCUCCCUUAUUAGCCUGAGCAGCAAAGAGGUGCUGGUCUCGCCUACCACCGACCACCUCUUCACAAGCUGCGCUCAUCACAGCUUCCAUUCUGAGCCGUGGAAGCCAGCCAGCCAAAUUCCUGCCAUUUACUUAACUGCAUUAUAAAGGAUUUCAGGCA